GAUGAACGCUGGCGGCGUGCUUAACACAUGCAAGUCGAACGGUGAAGCAGGAGCUUGCUCCUGCGGAUCAGUGGCGAACGGGUGAGUAACACGUGAGCAAUCUGCCCUGGACUCUGGGAUAAGCGUUGGAAACGACGUCUAAUACCGGAUACGAGACGCGAAGGCAUCUUCAGCGUCUGGAAAGAACUUCGGUCCAGGAUGAGCUCGCGGCCUAUCAGGUAGUUGGUGAGGUAAUGGCUCACCAAGCCUACGACGGGUAGCCGGCCUGAGAGGGUGACCGGCCACACUGGGACUGAGACACGGCCCAGACUCCUACGGGAGGCAGCAGUGGGGAAUAUUGCACAAUGGGCGCAAGCCUGAUGCAGCAACGCCGCGUGAGGGACGACGGCCUUCGGGUUGUAAACCUCUUUUAGCAGGGAAGAAGCGAAAGUGACGGUACCUGCAGAAAAAGCACCGGCUAACUACGUGCCAGCAGCCGCGGUAACAC
rnacentral:rRNA from 1 species